CCUACGGGGUGCAGCAGUGAGGAAUAUUGGUCAAUGGACGCAAGUCUGAACCAGCCAUGCCGCGUGCAGGAAGACGGCUCUAUGAGUUGUAAACUGCUUUUGUACGAGGGUAAACGCAGAUACGCGUAUCUGUCUGCAAGUAUCGUACGACUAAGGAUCGGCUAACUCCGUGCCAGCAGCCGCGGUAAUACGGAGGAUUCAAGCGUUAUCCGGAUUUAUUGGGUUUAAAGGGUGCGUAGGCGGUCGGAUAAGUUAGAGGUGAAAUCCCGAGGCUCAACUUCGGAAUUGCCUCUGAUACUGUUCGGCUAGAGAGUAGUUGCGGUAGGCGGAAUGUAUGGUGUAGCGGUGAAAUGCUUAGAGAUCAUACAGAACACCGAUUGCGAAGGCAGCUUACCAAGCUACUUCUGACGUUGAGGCACGAAAGCGUGGGGAGCAAACAGGAUUAGAUACCCUAGUAGUC
rnacentral:rRNA from 1 species